GGAGAGGUGUCUGAGUGGUUGAAGGUGCCGCUCUCGAAAAGCGGUGUAGUCUUACUGGCUACCGAGGGUUCGAAUCCCUCCCUCUCCGCCA
rnacentral:tRNA from 1 species